UGGGGGAUAUUGCACAAUGGGGGAAACCCUGAUGCAGCGACGCCGCGUGAGUGAAGAAGUAUUUCGGUAUGUAAAGCUCUAUCGGCAGGGAAGAAAAAAAUGACAGUACCUGACUAAGAAGCCCCGGCUAACUACGUGCC
rnacentral:rRNA from 1 species